CCCAAUACGUCGUAAUUGAAUGCUUACAAAUACUCUCCUGUGAUGACAUGGCAGCGGCCGUACAUGACUCCGGCCGCACAAGAUGCGACGGUGAUGAAGGAGUAGGGGAUGAACCGAUACACAGGCGCCAUGUUCGUCAAAGGAGGAUCAAACCAGUCGGCCAGUCGUACAGCCGUACAGCCUCCAGCGGACUGGCGAGGCU
rnacentral:lncRNA from 1 species